rnacentral:rRNA from 1 species
CCUACGGGUGGCUGCAGUGGGGAAUAUUGGACAAUGGGCGAAAGCCUGAUCCAGCCAUGCCGCGUGUGUGAAGAAGGCCUUCGGGUUGUAAAGCACUUUCAGUGGGGAAGAAAGCCUUGGGGCUAAUACCCUCGAGGAAGGACUUCACCCACAGAAGAAGCACCGGCUAACUCCGUGCCAGCAGCCGCGGUAAUACGGAGGGUGCGAGCGUUAAUCGGAAUUACUGGGCGUAAAGCGCGCGUAGGCGGUCUGAUAAGCCGGUUGUGAAAGCCCCGGGCUCAACCUGGGAACGGCAUCCGGAACUGUCAGGCUAGAGUGCAGGAGAGGAAGGUAGAAUUCCCGGUGUAGCGGUGAAAUGCGUAGAGAUCGGGAGGAAUACCAGUGGCGAAGGCGGCCUUCUGGACUGACACUGACGCUGAGGUGCGAAAGCGUGGGUAGCAAACAGGAUUAGAUACCCGAGUAGUC